rnacentral:tRNA from 1 species
UCCUUGGUGGCUCAGCUGGUAAAGAAUCCGCCUGCAAUGCGGGAGACCUGGGUUCAAUCCCUGGGUUAGGAA